rnacentral:lncRNA from 1 species
GUAGGUGCUAACAUGGACUGUGGGGGACCCAAGUUAUUACAAGGGGUCUCUGACUCUCCAGUCUCUUGAAGUGCAUCCUACUGACGGAGUCCACAGUGUGUCUUCCACAUAUACAUCAACUAUUUCCCUGGCGUGUGCAGGUGCUACUGUAUUGUGUGGAGCCAAACACAUGUUUGUGUUGAAGGAUAAGCGAAUUCAGAGUCAGGAUCACUAACAUUUUUGGGGAGCUUCCUCUGUGCCAGGCACCACGCCAAGUGCUCAGCAUGGAUUAGCUCAUGUAAUCCCUGCUGGAGCCCUGUCAGAAAAAGUUUGCUCAGCACCUGGAAGGAAGCUCCCCCACCACCAUCCCAAGCUCCUAGGGCAGAGAAGGAGACCCGGUGCCAGCACCCAGAAGGAAGCUCCCUCGCCGCUAUCCCAAGCUCCUAGGGCAGAGAAGGUGAGCUGGUCCAAGCACUCGGAAGGAAGCUCCUCUGCUGCCAUCCGAAGCUCCUAGGGCAGAGAAGAUCCUCUGCAAGGCAAGGCCACACCCCUUCUACGGGGCUCAGCAGCUUUGAGAAUCCUCCCUGACCAUCAGGCCCUCCGUCAGCAGUGUUCUCCCCAGGCCAUCUGGAUUUCAGAUGACGGUUCCCCGGACAUCAUGAUUUGCAGCUUUAUAGGUUGAAGUACGCUAUUUCAUCCUGGCUGUCCCAUGGCCCUGAC